rnacentral:lncRNA from 1 species
AUAAUAUUCAGAGGUUGGGAUGGGUGCUGUGACAAAUGGGAAUAGGGCAUUCUGAAAAGUAAAACUAGGGCAGGGUAAUGCCUAAUUCGAAGAGUCAGAAAAGUGACAUCAAGCUGAGAACUAAAGGAUUUCCCUUGAAAUGAAGGCGGUAUGUUCGUAUGGGGCUUGGGGGAAGGCAAGAUUGGAAUUCACAACUGGAUUUAAAAAAUUAGGCAAAUGACAAAGUCAGGAAAUGAUUUGAGAGGAAGAGCUCCAGACCCCCACCACAAAGCUAAGGAGAACUGACCAUCAAGGCUUCAAGAUCUUCAAGAGAUAGUCCACAGAGUCUGUAAAUCACCCACUGUCACGGGAGUUCUUCUACUUGCCUGAUCACAGGAAUCAUCAGACCCUCCACCUAUGAGUUACAUGACCUUCCUGGAGACUUUGGUGCAUUAAUGAUGGGGUGUGGUCCAGAAUACAGAGAAGAGAAUAAAGGACCAGGGGGAUCUUCUCAGGGAGAGUGGUUCAUUUCCAUGCUAAAAUUGAAAUAACAAUAAUGUGAGUAUCUGAUUUCUUUUUCAACUUGGAAAAUUUUUGUUAUAAAGGAAACUUUUUCUAC